CCCACCCCCCAGCGAGGAGAACCCCGUCCUUGGCCUCUCCAGGCCCAGGCCUGGCUGCCGCUCUGUUUUGCUGCCUUUCGUGUUGCCGGAGGAUCUUCUUGGGAACAAAUGACUCAGCAACCUGGAUCUCUGGGACUGAGUGUGGCAUGGCGUGCCUUCUGAGAAGCGAUUGGACGGGUCCGCCUCGUCUCUCAAAUUCUGAGCUCAGGAGCCACGCAGACCCAGACAGGUUUUAGUCUGGCUUCGUCAGGCUGCCGUUCACAUUCGGACUCCCCGGUCCAGUUCCUGCCCCGGUACCAGGAUCUCACUCGUGGGAUAAGCCAGGCCAUGUUUUAAUUACCUUUUUUUUUUUUUUGUCUUUCGGAAAUUUCAGGGAGGGGAAAAAAGGUCCCGGUUGGUGGCCCCCAAAAGCUAAAAAGGCAGCCAAGAUCAGCUGCGCUGUAGAUCUGGACUUGUCCGUGACAGAAAGAGUUAACAGGACAGUGGUCUCGGGGUGAGGGCCAUUUUUUUUCCUGUGGCUGGGAGACGCUCACGGGGCUCAAGAAAAGAUGACGCAACCUUUGGUGUGGGACAGCCCUGGCCUGUCGGCCUCGUGGGCGCUGUCCCUCAAAGAGUUAAGCUGGCCUUGGGGCCGGGGAGCCCUCAGGGAAGGUGUGAGCCCACGGGGACCAGCCUCUGGAUGCCCCGGAGCAGUGAGGUGUGGGGUAAAAAAUGGGACGGGAAAGUGUGGCCAGGGAGCCGAGUGCAGGCCCAACUUUUUCUUUUUUCUUUUUUUUUUUUCUGCCUUGUUUGACCAGCCUUGGCACUGCCCUCAGGCUCUCCAGGGGAAAAGCUGCAGUUCUGCUCUUGCAACACAAGGAGCAGACUGGAGAAUUUAGAUCUGCGUCACAGAGCUCAGAGAGAGAGAGAGAGGAGAGGAGAGAGAGGGGGAGAGGGAGAGAGAGAGAGCGCUCCGUCGAUAGGUCUGCUAGCAACAGCCGUGCUGCAGCAGCAGCAGAGAGAGAGAGAGAGGGGAAUCAAGAAACAAGUCAUAGCAACACCGGGUGCCAGGUUCUGCCAGCUCCCUGGCCAAAGCCGUUCAGAAAUCUGUCUGGGGCUGGAGGCCUGUGGGUAGCCUAGGCUGAGAGGAGGAGGAGGAUGAUACGCAAGGUGGCACGGGCGGUUCCCGUGCGGAGGAGGUGGGGAGAGGGGGUGGUGGGGGGCAGGGGUGGGGGCCAGAGGUGGUGGGGGCCACGGUGGAAGCCUGAACCGGACCGGUUUCUGGAACAUUCGAGACUGCGGCAUCGUCACAGCCAGACCAAGAUUUAGGUCUGCGCAGCCGGCGAUGGGCGGUCCGAUGGGCUUCGGGACUCGAUGGCGCAGCCCUCUUCUUCCCCCACAGAACUCAGAGAAGUUGAGCUCCAUCAGUGACAACCGUGUGGAGAUUCGGACCAUCCGAGGAUGGUGCUGGUGGGCAGAAGACAGCCGUCAUACCGUGGGGUCACGUGCGCCCUUUUGCAUUUAUUUGAAAACCCCCAAAAAAGAGAGAUGCGUGGCAGCCUGGCUCCGUGCAAUGCGGAGAGAUCCAAAGGUCACGUGGAUGAGGGUCCUGAUAUCGGAGGAGCUGACAGCCUCGAUGGAUUUGGGCUUUGGACGAGGAGAGACCGGGCCCUGGAUGUGGCUGAAGGCACGGCGUGGCCCUUGGUGAAGACCAGGCUCCGGUAUGUCUUCUGGGUUUCCUGUUUGCCUUGCUCUGACCUCCCCCUUCCUUCUGUUGGACCUCUGGUCUUCCCUGCCUUUCUCCACCCCUUCCUCCUCCUCCUCCCUCUGGUUUUCUUAAGGAUCCAUGAGGGCAGGCUCCGCUCCAGCAUCCGGCAUCCGGGAACUGCGCCUGCUCCCUGCCCUCCCCCCUCCCCCCGGAGUUUCUGGGAAUCCGCCUUUGCUAGGCAGCGGUGUCAGCCGUCACGGAGAGAGCUGGUAGUGACUGGGGGUGGCACAGUGGGUGGUGCAGGCAGAGUGGGCUGGAUCUCUGCCUUCUCCCUGUUGUAGGUGCUGUUGAGCCACCCCUCGGCGGUGGUUCCGGGAGCGAAAGAGCUGAUGGAUGUGGCUCAUCGUCGGGCUGCUCCAUGGGAAAUAUGAUUCAACCCCUUCCCUGCCGCCCAGGUAAGUCAGGGGUGGGCUGUUUCCCUUCUCGUUUUUCCCCAACCCCCUCUUUCCCCAGGGAGGCCAUUUUCCUUAUGCGGUGAGCAAUCCUUCAACGUCUUCACUUCAGAAUCUCCCAAACAACGUUCCCCUCCUUUCCAUGCUCUCCCUCCCAGCUUUUCUGUGAAUGGGGUUGGUGGCCAGUAGGGACUUGGGAAAGGUGGCCAGGGAAGCGACCGGCUGCUAGGGUGUGUGGAAGAUGGCUGGGAGGUGGCUGGGUGUGGCUGUUGGCAGAGCAGUUGUGUCUCCUGUGUCAUUGACUAGUCCUCUCCUUAGCAGCCCCCCCCCCCCCCCCAUAUAUCCCCUCGCCUGAGGUUCUGGGUUUAAUCCCUCAAGACUCUGGGAACCUGCCUGGGACUCGGGUAUCUCUUCUCAGCGUCAUCUCUGGGGAUGUCCUUUCUUACUCCAGACACAUUUAGCCUUGCUGGCCUCUGUCUAGAGCUCAAGUCUGGAGUUUAGACUAUGGCCUAGGCAAGUAGAUUUGGGGUUCUUUCCCUACUUUUUUU